CUACGGGAGGCAGCAGUGGGGAAUAUUGCGCAAUGGGCGGAAGCCUGACGCAGCGACGCCGCGUGGGGGAUGACGGCCUUCGGGUUGUAAACCUCUUUCAGCAGGGACGAAGCGAAAGUGACGGUACCUGCAGAAGAAGCACCGGCCAACUACGUGCCAGCAGCCGCGGUAAUACGUAGGGUGCAAGCGUUGUCCGGAAUUAUUGGGCGUAAAGAGCUCGUAGGCGGUUUGUUGCGUCGGCUGUGAAAUCCCGAGGCUCAACCUCGGGUCUGCAGUCGAUACGAGCAAACUAGAGUGUUGCAGGGGAGACUGGAAUUCCUGGUGUAGCGGUGAAAUGCGCAGAUAUCAGGAGGAACACCGGUGGCGAAGGCGGGUCUCUGGGCAACAACUGACGCUGAGGAGCGAAAGCGUGGGGAGCGAACAGGAUUAGAUACCCCGGUAGC
rnacentral:rRNA from 1 species